rnacentral:sRNA from 1 species
AUGUGGGUAUUUACCACUUAAAAAACUACACUACCACACCACUUACACGUGAAUAUUCUAAUAAAUCUCCUCCAUUUUUCUUCCUUCAUUUCCAAAAAAAAAAAAAAGAACUCCUCAUUCACACUUGAGUCUUCUACCAAGCCACUUGUAUUAACACCUCAGGCAAUCCCCGCCUUGAGCUGAAGCCUUUUUCUUAACAAUCUAUAUGACAUGCAUUACCAUCAAGUCUAAUGUGCUCACCAGUAGAAUGUCUUUACUCAGCCAUGGGUGAAGAAAAGAUGGGAGUCUUCCUUGCACAACUUUGGGAGCCACCAAUACACAAUCAUUUUGACUCACCACUUAGAGCCUUUAGUCAACCAUGUGUGAAGCUAAAAUGAAAGUCUUCCUCAUUAGCUUCCAUCUCUGAACAAUUUGACCAUUGAAUCAGAAUUGCCCUUGUAUGUGAAUGUAAGAACUUAUGUUUUCCAUUUGCAGGCUAAGCAUGCUCUGUCUGAAGAAAUUAAGGAGAUAAACCAGCAACUAAUAGACGCGGUGGUAGAUCUUAGUGAUGAAGAUACCAUUUCAACUGUAGUUGCAGCUGCAACUGGUGGUGGUGAAGGUACCAUUGUCAAGUGCUCUGUGUCUUUAGGUCCAAACUAUAAGUCACAGCAGCUUUCAGCUCAGAUAGUACGUUUUCAAGCACUCCAAUCCAAAUUAUGUUGGAAAUAUUUUAGUGAAUAAACAAGUUUUGAUACAUAAAUAAUAUCUCAAAUAAUUAGCAAGAAUGUCAAUAAGAAAUAAUAAAAUAAAUUUAAGUAAAUUUAGGAACAAUCUCACAGUGUUAUAGAAUCACGCAAAGAGCGUUGUCCUUAAAGGUUAAUUUGUGCCACCCAAAGUAAAACUUGGUGCGAUUGGUUCUCUUGGCCAAAGCUCAACCUCCAUUAAGAGCCUAAAGUUCAACCUCUAACAAUCUACAACUUAAUUGGUGGCAUCCAUCAGGAGUGCGUGCAGAUACAGCCCAUCCCAACAGGUAGGGAUAUGGAUCCAUUAAGAGCCUAAGCUCAUCCUUACCGAAUUCUGCAACUUAGCACUGUCUCACACCAUAGGGAUGGACUCAUCACUAAUCUCCUUAUUGAGAUAGCGAAAAACAUGUAACAAGUGACAGUGCCCAUGGACCAUUAAUGAGCUCUAACCAUUUAACCUCUUGCAUGGAAUCACCCAUUAUAGAGAGGUUAGGCAAUAGCCACAGUGUCGCAACUUGGGUAUCAGUCCAAUCCCCCUAGAUGUCUCACUAACCAGCCUCAUUGCUAGUGGUUUGGUCAAAGGAUCAACCAAGUUCCUUUCAGAUCUCACAAAGUCCAAUAAUAUCACAAAGUCCAAGAGAUAGCCCUUCUAGCUAGUGUAAACACAUAUCCACUAGUGGGCUUUACCUCAUCUGUAUCAGAGAUCUAGUUAGCAUCACAAUAUCCUUCUAAAACAGUAGGAUAGCCACAAUAUGACAAACCAAAAUCAAAAGUCCUGUUUAAAUAUCUCAAUAAUUUAGAUAUUGCAUUUCAAUGCUCAAUACUAUGAUUAUGAGUGUAUCUACUCAAUCUACCAACAACAUAUGCAAUAUCAGGACGAGUACAAUUUGUCAAAAACAUUAAACUACCAAUAAUUUGUGCAUAUUUAUCUUAUGAAACACUAUCAUCACUAUUUUUAACCAAGUGCACCUUUAAGUUAUACAUAAUAGACAUAGGUCACAUAUCAAAGUGUUUAUAUAUAUAUAUAUAUAUAUAUUUUUUUUUUUUCCACAUAACUCGAUUGUGAUAGUACACUGCAAUCAUUAUCCCUAAGGAUCUUGAUGCCUAAAAUAACAUUUGAAAAUUAAUUAAAUAAAUAACAAAAAGAACUAAUAGAAACUUUAAUUUUUAUAAGAUAGUCUCAUUUAGUUACAAGUUAAGAAAUUUUUUUAACGUAUGUUUUGCCCCCCCUAAGUCUAAAGUUUGGCUUUGUCCCUGGCUGCCUUUGUCACAGGACUGGCCCAAGGCCUAGGCCAAAGGCCCCACCAAAAAAACAAAAUUCCCCUUGGGAAAAAAGGCCCCAAUUUCCAUAAUUAAAGGUCCAAAUUUUUAUAAAAUUAUAUAUAUAUAUAUAUCAUAUUGCUAUAUAUAACAAUAGAAGCUGAGAGAAAGUUGAUUCAUACAACUAAGGAGGUACUGACAAAUAGGAUAACUGUCUAUCUAAAAUUCAGACACGAUUAAUUUUAAAAAGUAAUACUUUAUAUUGUUUUGCAAGGUUAACAAUGUUUGAUAGGGGGAAUGGGCAGACUAAUAGUGUAUUGGGCAAGUAUGUAGUAAGUUAGGCAACGAUUCAAAGUUUUAAGAAAAAUAGCAUCUCAAGUUUUAGAAACUCGAGAUUCAUAUUAAAACUCAAGUCCCAAGUUUUUGGGACUGAAAAUGCCACAAAGAUCUCGAGUUCCUAUAGUGGCAGUUUUAAGUCCUAUAAUGACGUUUUAAAGCCCUAUAGCGGCAUUUUCCUGUAAAAAAAAUUUUUAAGUCCGUUCAGGGAGCCUUAUAGUAGUAUUUUUAAGCCCUAUAGUAACGUUUUAAAACCCUAUAGCGGCGUUUUCCUGCAAUUUAUGGAACUUGAGUUUUUAAAACUCGAUUUUUACGUUGAUUUUUUUUUCCAUAUUAGACCCAUUCACUUACAAAUUAAAACUUAAAAACUUGAGUUUUAUCUUAGAACUCGAGUUUUAGACAUUCGAGAUACUAUUUUUUAAUAUUCUUUUGUGUCCUGGCAUCUAACUAAAUUUUUUAAUAUUUAUUGUUAUUUAGAAAAAAAAUUUCCGUUUGACAGUGAUGGUGUAUAUAUUAAAAAAAAAAAAAAAGUUGGGAAAAAAAAAAUCACAACUAAAAAAAUCCCUAGCCUCAUCAGACUCUUCUUAACAUUUUCUCUCUAAAAAAAACCCCUAGCGAUACUGCGAUAGUGAGAAAGGGAAGGAGAAAGAAAAAAAAAAAAAAAAAAAACUAGCGAUCUCUUCACAUCAAACUCUGCAAGGAGAAAAAAAAAAACCUUGCGCCACACUGGAGAUUUGUUCGGCCGGCCAUCGCCAUCCCCUUUUGGGUUUUUCAGGUACGUUCUUCUCUCUCUCCCUCUCUUUCUCUCUAUGAGUUUUUGUUGUUUUGAUUCGGUUUUGAAACUUCCCUGUGAUUUCGGGAUAAGUUUCCCCUGUUUUCGUGAAUUUGCGGAAUAUUCUGUAUCUGUUUUGAGAUUAAAAUCUUUGAUUUUGAAUGCACGUGCUCGUGAUUCUAGGGUUUUGUUAUAAUUACCAUUUGAAAAUUCUUUGAAUAUAUAUAUCUAGAUAGACUAAUUUUGGUUUAGGAUUUUGUUGUUCUCUGUUACGAUUGGCUUAGCUUUCGUAAAAAAGUCUAUUUUUGGUUCAGGGAUUCAAAGUUAAAUACGACCAAACGUCCCAGGAAUAUUGAAAUACAGGGAUAGAGAUCGGCGCUACUCCGACAAAAGGUACGCAUCAAUUCUUUGUGUUCCAACUUGAAUUGAAAAUGGGUUGUUCAUUCUCUUUCUUUAGAUGUUUUGUUGUGAAUAUUGAUUCUUACGGCAUGGACAAGAAUGCCGAACCCUAGAAUCAUGAGAGACCAUCUAUAAAUCAGACCGACCUCUUAUUUGAAUUUGAUUUGCAUGUUAACGACCAUCUAUUUGGCCACUGGAAAAAAGGAGAAUAAAUUAAUUGGGACAUAAUAAUUAUACAUAUCAAUUUAAUCCAAAAUAAAAUUUUAAUUUAAUACAAAUAAAGAUGAGAUAAACAUUAAGGACUUAUCCUUUGAUUUAUUAUAGUUUAAAGGUAAAAUUUCACCUUAGAUUGUUUAAUCUUGCUUUAAGUAUUUAUUUUAUAUAUCCUUGGCUAAUGGAAGCCAAAUCCUUAGUCAUCAUCAUAUGAGAAAUAGCCAACAGAUUGUUAAAAAACUCCUCACCCUGUUAUUUUUUUGAAUAUUGAGUUCUUUGCCAGGUACAACGCGGGUAUUUUGCAAGAAGAGUUGCUGCAUCAAACUAAGAGGUUUGGAUGGCCUGAUUUUCCCUCUAUUUAUCUCAUAAUUUGAAUUAAAUUUUCUCCGUUGAUCUGUUUGGUUUUGAUUUGGCUUUGAAUUGCAUAUUUAUAUCUGCUUUUAUCUUCAUUUUUUUUUUUUUAAUUCAAUGAAUUCUUAUUUUGUAUUCUACUGAACUGUAAAACUGUUAUGAUUUUUUUUUUUUUUUUGGCUAUGCUUUUAGGGGCCUGCAUUUGGUACCUACACCAUAUUCAUGUAUUGGACAGACUUGAUAUAAAACCCGUUUCACACCAAGGUCAGCAUUUUGUUACCUGAAUAUGUUUAGGAAAAAACAUGUUUGCCAUUCAAUAAUGGUUGAUUUCUCAAUGUUGCUUCUCUGAGCAUCUAUUAUUUGAAACUAAAAUGUUUAAAACCUCUUUAAUGUUUGUGCUAAAAAGUCAUAUUUUUCGUUUGAUUGUAUAUUUGUUUAAAGGAAUGUAUAAUUGUUUUAAAGAAUGGACGAAUCUUUUCUGGCAGAAAAUUAUGUUUCUUUUUCAUUUAUUGAAUUUGAUUAAAUAGCCAACAUAUUGCUUAAGGUUAUGUCGUUGAAUAUUUAGGGACCAUUUACUAAAGAUUGUUGUGUGGUGUACACAUUAAUGUUUCAAUUAGUUUGUCGAUCUUUAGAAAAAAGCUUUUUAUUUUAAAAGCCAAUAAAAUAUUAUGCAAUAUAUAAUAAAUAAUCCGGACACUAGACAGUGUAUGUGUGUGUAUAUAUAUAUAUAUAUAUACUGUUCUUCACACCGCUGACUAUUUCAAGCACUAGAACCCCAAAGCUUAGACAUCUACUUUUUCAGUUAGUCUUGAGCAAGGAGUUCAGGAGCCAUGUUACCUCUUUCAAGCAUUAACAAGAAAGAGUUUUUGUUAGUAUAGUGAAUGAUUCAAAAGAAUUCAAGCUCUAAAUACCCGACUAGAAGUUAUGAAGAAUAAGAAGAAUACCAUUGAAUAAGCACGCUUACAGUGUGCCAACAAUGGCAGUGCUGAUUUGUUUCUUUAGAUUGCUGUUUUUUUUUUUUUUUUUUUUUUUUUUUUUUUUUUUUUUUUCAUUUUAAAUUUUAUUACCACCUCUUUUGUGUUGUGGGUUUGUUUUUAGCAUACAACUAUGUUUGACUCUGAUUUCUUUGUGUAGUGCUGUGGUGUGGUAAAUUGUUAUGUUGCCUUUUCUUUCUACUUGAAUUUUUUUUAGGAUGUUCACAACUAGACUACGAAACUAAUUUAUCACCGUGCUGGGCAUGAGUAGAUGGAAUACACCAACUGUUAUAUAGUUUAAAGUAUAUUGGGCUGUUCAUUUUCUGCAAAAUUUAUAAAGGGUAGCUUUGUGCAAAUAAUUGCAGGUUCUUCUAAAAAUAUUAGAACUGUGAGUUGUGUCCUAAUUUGGUCUUAAUGUCGGCAUUUUUCUGUUAUUUUCAAAACAGAUGUUCAGCAAGUGAUCUUUGCUAUGCAAUCUUCUAACUCCAAAAUUUUAAGCUAUGGACUUUUAGUUGCUGCUAUUUAAAUAUUUUAUGCUCUUUCUAACUCUAAAUUUUAAAGCUAUGGACUUUUAGUUGCUCCUAUUUUAAUAUUUUAUGCUCUGUUGUCAGGAUUUCAUUAGUUGAAAUUCAAUUUCAUUCCAGCCAAGCUAAAUAGGUUGCUGUAAUGUUAGCUAAUUGGGCAGGAUGAGGUUAUCUUCAUUUUCGUGAUUUCUCUUUUAUGUACAUUGUUACAACUUACAACAUUAUGUUCAAAAUCCUAAAUUGCUUGAUGUCCAUCUCUCUGUGUUCAUGUCAUUGCUUUCGUUUUUUUUUAAUUUUUUUCGUAAUAAUGUUUUGUUAUUUGAAUUUGAAUUAAAAUCCGGAUGUUUUUUUUUCUCUCUUUCAAUGUUUUGGCCUCAGAUUAUAAUCUUUGUUUUUCUUGCUUUACUAACAUUAUAAUCUUUUCCAAAUUGGAAUUAUUAUAUUCUUUGAUUAUUUACUGCCUUCUUGAUUUAUCAUAAUCCAUUUUUAAUGGGGGUGUCAUCAUGGGGUUUAGCCCUUGAAUAUGUGUAAAAAAAAAAACAUGUUUGUCGUUCAAUAAUGGUUGAGCAUUUUUUUUUCCAAUGUUUGUAGGUUUGGGUGUUUUGGGCUGCUCUGAAUAAGUAUAUGAUUCCUAAAGUAUUUUAUGUUCACAUAUUUUUUCAUAUGUGCAUGCAUCUACCCUUUGGUGUUAGUUCUUGAGUUUUUAUUCAAAAUUUUGCUUCGCAACCCAAUGAAGAGAUAAAAAAAAGGUAGUGGGCUGAUUUUCUAUUGAUGAGUAAUGGAAUCUUAGAGAUGUGCUUUAGCAAUACAACAUUUUGAAUCAAAAGGAGGAGUCAAAUAUUAGGUUUUACUUUCUCUACUAACAGAGGUUAUAUAUAUGUGUCCAUUAAGUGCUGAUUUUCUUAAUAAGUUGUAGCUUUCUUUUAAGACUUUGUUAAAUACUGUUUUGCUGCAUUACUCAAUCAAGUAUUAAGGUUUGACUACCCGUAUUCCUUUUUUUUUUUAUUUUUUUUUAUUUUUUUUACUUGAGUUCUGUUUUGUUUAGUUUUCUUGAACUAAUUAUGUUUUGUUGAUGACUGCAUGCUAAGAGAUUACUAAAUAAAUUUUUUUUUCCCAGUUUAUCUAAAGUCUUUAACAUCUCAUUCCCAAUUACUUAAUGCUACAAAGGAUCCUCUCAAUGAUAAGACCAUUUAUUAUACUUCAAUAGAUGAAGCUUUUUCUUUGUGUCCAUUAAGGGUUGAUUUUCUUAAUAGGUCAUAGUUUUCUUUUAGGAUUUUUUUGUGUUGUUGGCCUGUAAUGAUUUUUCCUAAGGGAAUCUUUGCCUAUAUAUAUAUAUUUAUUAUUAUUUUUUAAAAUUAUCAAUAUAUAUUUUCUGCGCUAGAAUAGUGCAGUGUUAUUUCCUAUUGGCUUUUCUUUCAUAUAUGGCUGUUAGAGCCAAUUUUGUGAUGCCAUCUCUAAUCACCUAUCUCUAAUCACCUAUGUUUUGUAUUCUAUGUUUUGUUAAUAGCCAUAUUUGUAAGAUGAAUGUUUUAAAAUCUGAAUGUUUGGGGAGUAUAGUUAUUUUGUAAUUUUUUGUAAAUGAAAUUAUUGGUUUUUUAUGUUAACUACUGAGUUUUUGCAGAUUGAACUGCAUUUCCUCUGAUCGCCUUUGUUGUUUUACUUCUUGAUAUUUAAUUUUACUAUUAUUUCUCUAUUGAUAUAUGUCUCUAAUUUACUAGAAUAAUUGUUUUGUUUUUUUUUUUUUUGGAGCAUCUUACGCUUUCCUUUUGCGUUAAGAAUAAUUUCUCAUAUAUUUCAAAAUUGUUCUAUUAGAGUUUGUUUCUUUUAAUUUUUGUACUACUCAGGCUAUUAGGCUUAGUUUAUUGGCAGUUUUUUUUUUUUUUUAAAUGUUGUUGUUAGCUGUGUUAAUUUUAUUUAGUCAUUUGUUUUUAUUGUGUAUGUCUUAGUAUUUUGGAUUGAGUACUUAUAGAUGCUUUAAUUUUAUUUAUUUAUUUUAUGAAUAGAAGAUUACAUAAUAAUGGGUGAAAAGCUUCAUGAAUUCCAUAACUUGGGUGUGAGUAUAAUCUAAUCUAUCUCUGUGUAAUAUUGAAGCAAAACCUAAAAAAUUUGAAGAACUUUAGUGUAAUUAAUCUUGAUUCUUGCUGUCUUAUUGAGUGUUUAUGUUUAGGUGCUUUUGUUUCUUUAUGAUUUGGCUUUCAUGAAAGUGUUAAGAAAAAGUUCAAGAGGAAGUAUUAUUCGAUUAAAUGAAGGGUUUGUAAUAGCCAAAUCAUGAUCCAUAUGAAACUUUAUUUGUCUAAAAUUUCCAAUUAUUAACUCCGGUGACCACAAAGCUGAAGCUGCAAAGGGGUAUCAAACAUUUGCAGUGUUAAUUACUCUUUAAUCGUAUUCAGUUUUAGUAGAAAACUUCAAAAAUUAACUGUGACUAAGAUUACCAAUUGAAAAUCAGUCUCUUAAAGAAAGAUUGACUAUGUCAAUGACAUAUUAGUACUUUAUUAAUUUGUUUUAGAUAUGAUCAAACAUACUUGCAGAUUGGGACAACAUUGUUUAUAUAUGUAUUUCGGUCUCUUGCAUUUAUCCCCACCAGUGUUUGUUUGGUGUUGAUUCAAAAUUUGUAAUGUUUCAUUUAUAUAAAUCUGCCAUGUUUUCUGAAUUUUAAAUAAUUAUAAUUAAUUAUAUAACAUAUAUAAUUAAUUAUAUAACACACAAUCACAUGUUAUAUAGAAUCUCAGUUUGUAGCAGCUCAUUUAUAUUGACUCUUAUCAGAAAUUUUAUAUUCAUAACGACAUAUUUUCCCCCACAUGUUAAUUUAGAAAUGAAGAAGUUGAUCAUAUAAUUAUUAUUUUAACACUUUUCUUUAAGUUUAGAUCUAAAUUCCUCCUUAAUAAAUGAAGUCCCAUGAUAUGUAGCACUGUAGAAAACAACACUCAUUAACAAAAGCUACUACACAAUCUGAUCUUCGCCAGUAAGCAAACACUUUUUCUUUAAUAAGCAUUAAUUUUGAAAUGAUGCAUUUCUUUACAGCGUAUACGUAACAUAUUGGUUCAUUUGUAUGUAAAUUUGUUAUUUUUCAAGUUGGUGAUUUUAAAUAUAUGAUGUGUUUAAGUUUAUUUUAAUGUCACUAUGUCAGGUUUACAUGCUCAGGGUGAGGAACAAGCACUAUGGUACGGUUAAGUUUUUUGAUAUAAGUUUUGAUGAUUACUCUCCGGAGGAGGAUCAAGGCCUAGACUACAAAACUGUAUGGUCUAAACAGUGCUGAAAUUUUCAGUAGACACAAUUUGUGGGUUUAAGAGAGUUUGGCUAGAGCUGUAAGAUAAGGAGAAAUUGAAUUUUGUGUGACAGUAACAGUUCCUGUUAGUCAUUUCAAUAUGACUUCAGAGACUAAUAUGUUACUGUCACAAUUUGCUGGCUUAAGAGGGUUUGGUUGGAGCUGUAAGAAAAGAAAUUGAAAAUGAACUAUAUGUCACAGUAACACCACCUGUUGGUCAUAUCCAAUAUGACCUCACUGACUAAUAUUUAAUUUUUUUUGGUGGCUUUUAGGGAUCAUUAGAAUUUUUCUGAAAAAUCCAGCAUGAAACCAUGUAGCUCUAUGGUUUGGCCAUAGGAAAGUAAUGAUAACUUUGGAGAAUACAUAGUAGAGCAUAUUAACUUUGUGGCAUGUGUAUUUAGAGUUUAGAGCAUCUCUUUUAUCAGAUCUAUUACAAUACAGUGAUGCAGUGGUGUUGGCGGUGAAUAUGAGUUUAGCAUGGCAUAAAAAAUUAAAAAUUAUCCUAUGCAUUGUGCGGGUUAAACACUAGCUAUCUAUGAUGGCGUAAGCCUUUAAGGAGGUGCUGCCACGUUAGGAAAAAAGGCUAUCUAAAAGAAAACUAACCGCUUAAGACAACCAAAAAAAAAAAAAAAAAAGAUUGCUAUACGGAGAAAGGAGAAAGAGAGAUCGAGAGAAAAGAGAGACAGAGAAAUAGAUUUUAAGAUAUAUUUUAGGAAAUUUCUUACUCAUAUAAUUAUUUUUCCUAAAAAAUAAAUAAAUAUAUAUAUAUAUAUAUAUAUUUUAAUACAAGAUAGAAAUUUUACUUUAGCCUAAUCUAAGUGCAUAUGUGUUUGAAGUUUUCUCCUAGAAACCUGAACCUCAGCCCUUGCCCCCCUCUCCUAACACCCUAUAAGCAUUUAUACUUGUGGAGUGACCAUCGGGUCAAAGGUGCAUGGUAUUUUGUAAAUUUGAAAGAGAGAUUAGUUAUUCUUUUUAUGAUUUUUUAUUUUCAUAAUUGUUAUUGGCAUUUGGAAAGUUUUCUAGUCUGGAGAUCAGCAAGGACAGUGAAAGUCUUCUCUCCACUCUAUAUUGAUGGAAUCCCACUACUCAUACCUUUUUCAUAGGGUGUCAAGAAAUCUCUCCCACUCUAAAAGAUGUCUAUGAGAUACUACAACUUCCCUUAUUCAAAAAUGGUGAGGUAGUCAACAUCUCUUUAUCUCCUAAUGAGGCUAAAGCCAUGAAAUUCCUCGAGAAUGCAGUUAAGAAAACCUUAAAGAAACCAGUCCUAAAGGCAGCAAGAAAAGGGAAAUCCUCUAGCGAGGAAGGACCAGAAGAUACUAGUGUUGGCAAAGACAAAGGUUACAAGGCCAACUUCUGGGGAUGGAUUAGGUGCUUCUGGAGGGAAUAUGUUGACGGCGUGCAUGAGGAAGCCAAUGGAGACUCCCUAAAGGAAGGCACCGACUUUGUUGUAGGAGAAGGUAACCCUAGCCCUUAUGAACUUGAAGCCUUUAUUGCUUUCUUACUAUCUCGCCAACUGUUUAAGGGAUAUCCUCACGAGAAGAUCCUAAGCAAACAUUUCCCUUUAGCUGUUAAAUUAGCCAAAGGACAAUCCUUUCCCUUUGCUCCUUAUUUUCUAGGAACUUUAUAUUCUCACUUAGAUCAUUUUACUUUUAAUCUGCAACGCUCAUGCGGUAGAUUUCAAGUAGAAACUUUUGUACCAUUGCCUUUUUGCGAAUAUGGUUAUGGGAACAUUUUAAGAAUUAUGCCCUUGUCCCUAAGGUGUUAAGCUCUUAUAAGACCAGUCUACCACCAUCUAAAGGACUACCACGCUCUUGGCAUUGGAACAAAAUGGUAGUGUCUUCAAACAGUUUUCUUUGCAAAGUAUUAGAUGACCCUACUAACUAGACAGCCAGACCUUAAUCUGCCUUAGAGGAUGGACUCCCCCCCAUUGUUCACUUCUUUAGAAAGUACUUCUGUUUCUCGCUACAGAGACACCCCUUGGUCUAAGGAAGAACUUUCUUUUGUUGCUUGUGCUUUUCCUUCUCAUCUUCAGGCAUGCUUUGAAGAUGAGUAUGAGACUCAAACUCACAAUCCCCAUAGGUUUGCCCACCAAUUUGGUUUUGACCAAGGCAUACUAGGACACUUCUCUACUUUAGCUUUACCUGCUGUAGUGGCCUCCUCAACCUUUAAAAGAGAUAAUCUCAUUAAGAUAUUGGUAACAAACCCCGAAAUUCCCUUUACUUCCCCUACCAAAUCUGGACUGCCUUUAUCCAGGUUCAAGUCAUGGUGGUUCGAUAUUAGGGAAAGUGUUAGGAAUUUUGGGGAAAGUGGUGCACAGUGA